UUCCUCAUAGCUCAGUUCGUAAAGAAUCUGCCUGCAAUGCAGAAAACCCUGGUUCGAUUCCUGGGUUGGAAA
rnacentral:tRNA from 1 species